rnacentral:rRNA from 1 species
UACGGGGGGAGCAAGCGUUGUUCGGAUUUACUGGGUGUAAAGGGCGCGUAGGCGGCCACCGCAAGUCGACUGUGAAAUCUCCGGGCUUAACCCGGAAAGGUCAGCCGAUACUGCGGGGCUAGAGUGCAGAAGGGGCAACUGGAAUUCUCGGUGUAGCGGUGAAAUGCGUAGAGAUCGGGAGGAACACCAGAGGCGAAGGCGGCGACCUGGACAAGUACUGACACUGAACAACGAAAGCGUGGGGAGCAAACAGGG